GACGAACGCUGGCGGCGUGCUUAACACAUGCAAGUCGAACGGAAAGGCCCUGCUUUUGUGGGGUGCUCGAGUGGCGAACGGGUGAGUAACACGUGAGUAACCUGCCCUUGACUUUGGGAUAACUUCAGGAAACUGGGGCUAAUACCGGAUAGGAGCUCCUGCUGCAUGGUGGGGGUUGGAAAGUUUCGGCGGUUGGGGAUGGACUCGCGGCUUAUCAGCUUGUUGGUGGGGUAGUGGCUUACCAAGGCUUUGACGGGUAGCCGGCCUGAGAGGGUGACCGGCCACAUUGGGACUGAGAUACGGCCCAGACUCCUACGGGAGGCAGCAGUGGGGAAUAUUGCACAAUGGGCGGAAGCCUGAUGCAGCAACGCCGCGUGCGGGAUGACGGCCUUCGGGUUGUAAACCGCUUCCACCUGUGACGAAGCGUGAGUGACGGUAAUGGGUAAAGAAGCACCGGCUAACUACGUG
rnacentral:rRNA from 1 species